rnacentral:lncRNA from 1 species
GAUAGCACCAGUCAUGCCUGCCUAUGCCAGUUGAAGAACUUACUGCUCCUCUUCUGAAUGCAACUAGACUGUAGAUCUUACCAGGUUGCAGGAAGGAUGUGUACUGUCAGCAACUCUCAGAAGGCUGAACAAACGAGUCCCACAGCAGCCCUGGGAAGGAUCUCUGCUGUACCUUUUGGGAGGGCAGAUUUUUUACUGGAGGCUAGCACGUUUUGGAUUCCUUUUCAAAUGAGAGGCAUGACUGGCCUUAUAGAAGUCUUGCUGCAGCAGCCCAAUGAGACUUUUCACUUUGGCUUUUUUGGCUACAAAAUUUGUUGACAAAUGCAGUC